rnacentral:rRNA from 1 species
GACGAACGCUGGCGGCGUGCUUAACACAUGCAAGUCGAACGGAAAGGCCCUGCUUUUGUGGGGUGAUCGAGUGGCGAACGGGUGAGUAACACGUGAGUAACCUGCCCUUGACUUUGGGAUAACUUCAGGAAACUGGGGCUAAUACCGGAUAGGAGCUCCUGCUGCAUGGUGGGGGUUGGAACGUUUCGGCGGUUGGGGAUGGACUCGCGGCUUAUCAGCUUGUUGGUGGGGUAGUGGCUUACCAAGGCUUUGACGGGUAGCCGGCCUGAGAGGGUGACCGGCCACAUUGGGACUGAGAGACGGCCCAGACUCCUACGGGAGGCAGCAGUGGGGAAUAUUGCACAAUGGGCGGAAGCCUGAUGCAGCGACGCCGCGUGCGGGAUGACGGCCUUCGGGUUGUAAACCGCUUUCGCCUGUGACGAAGCGUGAGUGACGGUAAUGGGUAAAGAAGCACCGGCUAACUACGUG